rnacentral:misc_RNA from 1 species
UGCCUAGAUAAAGGUCAGUACUCAUUUAUGGUCUAACUGAAGUGUGUUUUCAGGAAGGAAAUCUGAAGAGAGUCCUAUUGCAUGAAGUGGCUACUUUCUUGUCUCGUGUCUUCAAUGCGUUGGUUGCUUGUCCAAGACUGAUCAUCAUAAAUUCAUAAUAAGCAAUAAUAUUUCUAAAAAGUGGUAAUGCACUGAACAAAGAAACAUACAUGCAUGAAAAGAUUGGG